GCAACAUGGCACCCUAGUCCCAAGUGAAAAUCCACCUGCCCAAAGUUUCCAAAAGUCCUUAAUUUCCAUUGAGUAAUACUUGCAGUGUUAGAGCAAUUGCUUCCACCCUGGACUACAGUAGUGGAAUAUGUAGACUACGAUAAACUGCUGAGGAAAAAAUUGAGGUGGAACUCAAGACUCCCAGAGAAUUUUCAAAAGACGUUAAGUGACAAGAGAUGAAAUCCAGAGUUGAUAAACAUAUAAACAAAAUUCUCUAAUUUAGCCACUUCUCACAUGACUUUUACCACCCAAAUUUAGGAGCCUCUAUUUUUGUAAAUAAAAUUUUACUGGGACACACAACAAAACUCAAACCAUUCUCAACCUCAUUAGUAAUCAGACACAUGUAACUUUAAAUAAAUUACAAAUGACUACCCUAACACAUGUAUUAGAUUGACCAAAAUUAAAUAAUCAGAAAUACCAAGU
rnacentral:lncRNA from 1 species